UAGGGAAUCUUGCACUAAUGCGCGCAAGCGUGAUGCAGCGACGCCGUGUGCGGGAAGAAGGCCUUCGGGUUGUAAACCGCUUUCAGGAGGGACGAAGCUACUCGGGUUAAUAGCCCAGAGGGUGACGGUACCUCCAGAAGAAGCCCCGGCUAACUACGUGCCAGCAGCCGCGGUAAUACGUAGGGGGCAAGCGUUGUCCGAAUUUAUUGGGCGUAAAGCGCGUGUAGGCGGCUGGGUAGGUCCGCUGUGAAAACUCGAGGCUCAACCUCGAGACGUCGGCGGAAACCAUCCAGCUAGAGUCCGGAAGAGGAGAGUGGAAUUCCUGGUGUAGCGGUGAAAUGCGCAGAUAUCAGGAAGAACACCCGUGGCGAAAGCGGCUCUCUGGGACGGUACUGACGCUGAGACGCGAAAGCGUGGGGAGCGAACAG
rnacentral:rRNA from 1 species